rnacentral:rRNA from 1 species
GACGAACGCUGGCGGCGUGCUUAACACAUGCAAGUCGAACGCUGAAGCUCAGCGUUUGUUGGGUGGAUGAGUGGCGAAAGGGUGAGUAACACGUGAGUAACCUGCCCCCUUCUUUGGGGUAACGCCCGGAAACGGGUGCUAAUACUGGAUAUUCACUGCUCUUCGCAUGGGGGUUGGUGGAAAGGGUUUUUCUGGUGGGGGAUGGGCUCGCGGCCUAUCUGCUUGUUGGUGGGGUGAUGGCCUACCAAGGCUUUGACGGGUAGCCGGCCUGAGAGGGUGACCGGUCACAGUGGGACUGAGAUGCGGCCCAGACUCCUACGGGAGGCAGCAGGGGGGAAUAUUGCACAAUGGGCGCAAGCCUGAUGCAGCGACGCCGCGUGAGGGAUGGGGGCCUUCGGGUUGUGAGCCUCUUGCGCUCAUGGUCAAGCCGCAACAAUGGUUGUGGUGAGGGUAGUGGGUAAAGAAGCGCCGGCUAACUACGUG